rnacentral:rRNA from 1 species
GACGAACGCUGGCGGCGUGCUUAACACAUGCAAGUCGAACGAUGAAGCGGGUGCUUGCACUCGUGGAUUAGUGGCGAACGGGCGAGUAACACGUGAGUAACCUGUCCUUUUCUUUGGGAUAACGGCUGGAAACGGCUGCUAAUACUGGAUAUUCAGGCUGCAUCGCAUGGUGUGGUUUGGAAAGGUUUUUUCUGGGAUUGGGUGGGCUCGCGGCCUAUCAGCUUGUUGGUGGGGUGAUGGCUUACCAAGGCUUUGACGGGUAGCCGGCCUGAGAGGGUGGUCGGUCGCACUGGGACUGAGAUACGGCCCAGACUCCUACGGGAGGCAGCAGUGGGGAAUAUGGCACAAUGGACGAAAGUUUGAUGCAGCGACGCCGCGUGGAGGGUGUAGGCCUUCGGGUUGUGAACUCCUUUUUCUCGCGAAAAAGGCACAGUUUUGGCUGUGUUGAUGGUAGUGGGGGAAGAAGCGCCGGCUAACUACGUG